rnacentral:rRNA from 1 species
UAGGGAAUAUUGGACAAUGGGUGAGAGCCUGAUCCAGCCAUGCCGCGUGCAGGAAGAAGGCGUUAUGCGUUGUAAACUGCUUUUGCCAGGGGAUAAAAUGACCGUGCGCGGUUAAUUGAAGGUACCUGGUGAAUAAGCCACGGCUAACUACGUGCCAGCAGCCGCGGUAAUACGUAGGUGGCAAGCGUUGUCCGGAUUUAUUGGGUUUAAAGGGUGCGUAGGUGGCCCUGUAAGUCAGUGGUGAAAUAUCUCAGCUUAACUGAGAGGGUGCCAUUGAUACUGCAGGGCUUGAGUACAGAUGAGGUAGGCGGAAUUGACGGUGUAGCGGUGAAAUGCAUAGAUAUCGUCAAGAACACCGAUAGCGAAGGCAGCUUACCAAGCUGUAACUGACACUGAGGCACGAAAGUGUGGGGAUCAAACAGGAUUAGAUACCCAUGUAGUCCCUGAGCGGGCUGGCAAGGCGCAU